rnacentral:rRNA from 1 species
GGUUAAAAAGCUCGUAGUUGGAUCUCGGCAAGUAGAGGGCGGUAUGCUUCGUAGCAUUACUGCCCUAUUACUUGUAGUUUUGCCAGAGGUUCCUGGGUGCUCUUAAUCGAGUGUCUAGGGAUGCUGGCAGGUUUACUUUGAAAAAAUUAGAGUGCUCAAAGCAGGCUAUUACGCUUGAAUAUUCGUGCAUGGAAUAAUAGAAUAGGAAGUUGUUUCUAUUUUGUUGGUUUUCGGAAAUCGACUUAAUGAUUAAUAGGGACAGUCGGGGGCAUUUGUAUUCAAACGACAGAGGUGAAAUUCUUGGACCGUUUGAAGACAAACUACUGCGAAAGCAUUUGCCAAGAAUGUUUUCAUUAAUCAAGAACGAAAGUUAGAGGUUCGAAGGCGAUUAGAUACCGCCCUAGUUCUAACCAUAAACGAUGCCAGCUAGCGAUCUGAGGACGUUUUUUUUGUAGACUCCUC